UACGGGGGGGGCAAGCGUUGUUCGGAAUUACUGGGCGUAAAGGGCUCGUAGGCGGCCAACUAAGUCAGACGUGAAAUCCCUCGGCUUAACCGGGGAACUGCGUCUGAUACUGGAUGGCUUGAAUCCGGGAUAGGGAUGCGGAAUUCCAGGUGUAGCGGUGAAAUGCGUAGAUAUCUGGAGGAACACCGGUGGCGAAGGCGCAUCCUGGACCGGCAUUGACGCUGAGGAGCGAAAGCCAGGGGAGCAAACGGGG
rnacentral:rRNA from 1 species